CCAAUUUUAAGAAGGUUUAGCAUUGUGACGUCAUAGACAACUUACGCACCGUUAGCCCAUCAUCAAGAAAGGAAAACGUGUUGAUGUAUCAUUCAGCAAAAGAAGUCAACGAACUGUGUGCACACAAAACUACUAAAGAAAAUGUCAAAGGAUGAUGUGCAACCCCGAAAAGAAAUUCAACACCAACAAUCAAAGGAUUGCGCGCACCCCCAAACCAGCAACAUCAACAUGUGGUGCCUACCCGAAAAACGUUCAAAAUUAACAACUAAAUCAUGGUGCACACUCAUAAAACAUCAACAACCAGAGGAUGGUGCACACUCUCAAAACAAUCAACACCAACAACCAAAGGAUAGUGCACACCCCAAAAAAACAUUCAACAUCAGCAACCAAACGUGGAUGUGUGCCCCCAAAUACAUGCGAUAUCAAGUACCUUAGUGCACUUUUAAAACGAGCACGCUUACAACAAAGUACUGGUUAGUAAAUUUUAAUGUAUAGAACGAACUAUGUAUAGCGAAUUAACUGUUAAAACGAACUAUUUUGUGGUCAAAACUGUUAAUUUCAGUGUAAAUUAGUGUAUAUACAGCGAACCGAUCAUAAUUUUUAUAUUACUUGUAUUUUAUUUGCUUAUUUAGUAUUGUUGAUAAUAAAUUAAAAUUAAAACCCA